rnacentral:ncRNA from 1 species
GCCCCUCGACCGAAAUGUUGCCUGAAUGGUAUGCGUGCCCGUAAGGGAUAGGGAGAGGGGAGUUA